rnacentral:rRNA from 1 species
GGGUUGUGAGGUUAAGCGACUAAGCGUACACGGUGGAUGCCCUGGCAGUCAGAGGCGAUGAAGGACGUGCUAAUCUGCGAAAAGCGUCGGUAAGGUGAUAUGAACCGUUAUAGCCGGCGAUGUCCGAAUGGGGAAACCCAGUGCAAUUCGUUGCACUAUCGUUAACUGAAUACAUAGGUUAACGAGGCGAACCGGGGGAACUGAAACAUCUAAGUACCCCGAGGAAAAGAAAUCAACCGAGAUUCCCCCAGUAGCGGCGAGCGAACGGGGAGCAGCCCAGAGUCUGAAUCAGCUUGUGUGUUAGUGGAACGGUCUGGAAAGUCCGACGGUACAGGGUGAUAGUCCCGUACACCAAAAUGCACAGGCUGUGAACUCGAAGAGUAGGGCGGGACACGUGGUAUCCUGUCUGAAUAUGGGGGGACCAUCCUCCAAGGCUAAAUACUCCUGACUGACCGAUAGUGAACCAGUACCGUGAGGGAAAGGCGAAAAGAACCCCGGCGAGGGGAGUGAAAAAGAACCUGAAACCGUGUACGUACAAGCAGUGGGAGCACCUUCGGGUGUGACUGCGUACCUUUUGUAUAAUGGGUCAGCGACUUAUAUUCUGUAGCAAGGUUAACCGUAUAGGGGAGCCGCAGGGAAACCGAGUCUUAACUGGGCGUUAAGUUGCAGGGUAUAGACCCGAAACCCGGUGAUCUAGCCAUGGGCAGGUUGAAGGUUGGGUAACACUAACUGGAGGACCGAACCGACUAAUGUUGAAAAAUUAGCGGAUGACUUGUGGCUGGGGGUGAAAGGCCAAUCAAACCGGGAGAUAGCUGGUUCUCCCCGAAAGCUAUUUAGGUAGCGCCUCGUGAACUCAUCUUCGGGGGUAGAGCACUGUUUCGGCUAGGGGGUCAUCCCGACUUACCAACCCGAUGCAAACUACGAAUACCGAAGAAUGUUAUCACGGGAGACACACGGCGGGUGCUAACGUCCGUCGUGAAGAGGGAAACAACCCAGACCGCCAGCUAAGGUCCCAAAGUCAUGGUUAAGUGGGAAACGAUGUGGGAAGGCACAGACAGCCAGGAUGUUGGCUUAGAAGCAGCCAUCAUUUAAAGAAAGCGUAAUAGCUCACUGGUCGAGUCGGCCUGCGCGGAAGAUGUAACGGGGCUAAACCAUGCACCGAAGCUGCGGCAGCGACACUAUGUGUUGUUGGGUAGGGGAGCGUUCUGUAAGCCUGCGAAGGUGACCUGUGAGGGUUGCUGGAGGUAUCAGAAGUGCGAAUGCUGACAUAAGUAACGAUAAAGCGGGUGAAAAGCCCGCUCGCCGGAAGACCAAGGGUUCCUGUCCAACGUUAAUCGGGGCAGGGUGAGUCGACCCCUAAGGCGAGGCCGAAAGGCGUAGUCGAUGGGAAACAGGUUAAUAUUCCUGUACUUGGUGUUACUGCGAAGGGGGGACGGAGAAGGCUAUGUUAGCCGGGCGACGGUUGUCCCGGUUUAAGCAUGUAGGCUGGUUGUCCAGGCAAAUCCGGAUAAUCAAGGCUGAGGUGUGAUGACGAGGCACUACGGUGCUGAAGUAACAAAUGCCCUGCUUCCAGGAAAAGCCUCUAAGCAUCAGGUAACAUCAAAUCGUACCCCAAACCGACACAGGUGGUCAGGUAGAGAAUACCAAGGCGCUUGAGAGAACUCGGGUGAAGGAACUAGGCAAAAUGGUGCCGUAACUUCGGGAGAAGGCACGCUGGUGUGUAGGUGAAGUCCCUGCGGAUGGAGCUGAGACCAGUCGAAGAUACCAGCUGGCUGCAACUGUUUAUUAAAAACACAGCACUGUGCAAACACGAAAGUGGACGUAUACGGUGUGACGCCUGCCCGGUGCCGGAAGGUUAAUUGAUGGGGUUAUCCGUAAGGAGAAGCUCUUGAUCGAAGCCCCGGUAAACGGCGGCCGUAACUAUAACGGUCCUAAGGUAGCGAAAUUCCUUGUCGGGUAAGUUCCGACCUGCACGAAUGGCGUAAUGAUGGCCAGGCUGUCUCCACCCGAGACUCAGUGAAAUUGAACUCGCUGUGAAGAUGCAGUGUACCCGCGGCAAGACGGAAAGACCCCGUGAACCUUUACUAUAGCUUGACACUGAACAUUGAGCCUUGAUGUGUAGGAUAGGUGGGAGGCUUUGAAGCGUGGACGCCAGUCUGCGUGGAGCCAACCUUGAAAUACCACCCUUUAAUGUUUGAUGUUCUAACGUUGGCCCCUGACCGGGGUUGCGGACAGUGUCUGGUGGGUAGUUUGACUGGGGCGGUCUCCUCCCAAAGCGUAACGGAGGAGCACGAAGGUUAGCUAAUCCUGGUCGGACAUCAGGAGGUUAGUGCAAUGGCAUAAGCUAGCUUGACUGCGAGCGUGACGGCGCGAGCAGGUGCGAAAGCAGGUCAUAGUGAUCCGGUGGUUCUGAAUGGAAGGGCCAUCGCUCAACGGAUAAAAGGUACUCCGGGGAUAACAGGCUGAUACCGCCCAAGAGUUCAUAUCGACGGCGGUGUUUGGCACCUCGAUGUCGGCUCAUCACAUCCUGGGGCUGAAGUAGGUCCCAAGGGUAUGGCUGUUCGCCAUUUAAAGUGGUACGCGAGCUGGGUUUAGAACGUCGUGAGACAGUUCGGUCCCUAUCUGCCGUGGGCGCUGGAGAAUUGAGGGGGGCUGCUCCUAGUACGAGAGGACCGGAGUGGACGCAUCACUGGUGUUCGGGUUGUCAUGCCAAUGGCACUGCCCGGUAGCUAAAUGCGGAAGAGAUAAGUGCUGAAAGCAUCUAAGCACGAAACUUGCCCCGAGAUGAGUUCUCCCUGAGACUUUAAGUCUCCUGAAGGAACGUU